rnacentral:rRNA from 1 species
CGACCCCCCACAAUGGAACUGAGACACGGUCCAUACUCCUACGGGAGGCAGCAGUGAGGAAUAUUGCGCAAUGGGGGAAACCCUGACGCAGCAACGCCGCGUGAACGAUGAAGGCCUUCGGGUCGUAAAGUUCUUUUCUAAGGGAAGAUAGUGACGGUACCUUAGGAAUAAGUCCCGGCUAACUACGUGCCAGCAGCCGCGGUAAAACGUAGGGGGCGAGCGUUAUCCGGAUUUAUUGGGCGUAAAGCGCACGUAGGUGGCGCUGUAAGUUAGACGUGAAAGCUCUCGGCUCAACUGAGAGAGGUCGUUUAAAACUGCAGUGCUUGAGGUUAGAAGAGGAGAGCAGAAUUCCCGGUGUAGUGGUGGAAUGCGUAGAUAUCGGGAGGAAUACCAGUGGCGAAGGCGGCUCUCUAGUCUACACCUGACACUGAGGUGCGAAAGCGUGGGUAGCGAACGGGAUUAGAUACCCCGGUAGUCCACGCUGUAAACGAUGGAUACUAGGUGUAGGGGGUCAUUUAACCCCUCUGUGCCGAAGCAAACGCGUUAAGUAUCCCGCCUGGGGACUACGGCCGCAAGGUUAAUACUCAAAGGAAUUGACGGGGGCCCGCACAAGCAGCGGAGCGUGUGGUUUAAUUCGAUGAUACGCGAAGAACCUUACCUGGGCUGAACUACGUGGUAGUAGUGAAGCGAAAGCGGAUCGACCCUUCGGGGAGCCUCGAUAGGUGCCGCAUGGCUGUCGUCAGCUCGUGUCGUGAGAUGUUGGGUUAAGUCCCGCAACGAGCGCUAACCCUCGUCGCUAGUUACAAGUGUCUAGCGAGACUGCCGGUAUCAAACCGGAGGAAGGUGGGGAUGACGUCAAGUCAGCAUGGUCUUUAUGUCCAGGGCUACACACACGCUACAAUGGUCGGUACAAUAGGUUGCCACACCGCGAGGUGGAGCUAAUCCUCAAAGCCGAUCUCAGUUCGGAUUGUAGUCUGCAACUCGACUACAUGAAGGCGGAGUUGCUAGUAACCGCGCGUCAGCAUAGUGCGGUGAUGCGUUCCCGGGCCUUGUACACACCGCCCGUCACAUCAUGGGAG